UCAGAAGCAAACAAGAUUAAUCAAAUUUGCCUGUUUAUCAUCUGUAAUCCUCCUUUCAAAGAUAAUGAAGACAUUUUCAUCGAAGUCGAUCCUGUUUCUCAUGUUUUUGGUCAUUGCAAUAGGUUCUCAAGUGAUGAUUGAAGCGCGAAACGUCACCCAUCGAUGCAAGACUGUGAGUGAUUGUGGAGACCCGAGAUAUUGUCGAUGUGACGGUUUCUUAUGUGCUUGCCAAUAUCCACCUAUGUUUCGUUCAAGAUUCACUCCAAAGGCAAAAGCCGAUGCACUAAAGUCUCACCCUAGAGAUUGAAAUGGCAUAUGGCUUUGAUGUAUUUGUCUAAAAGCUCAUCGAAUAAUAAAUAAAUUUAUAUACACUCCAAAA